rnacentral:rRNA from 1 species
ACGCUAGCUACAGGCUUAACACAUGCAAGUCGAGGGGCAGCAUUUCAGUUUGCUUGCAAACUGGAGAUGGCGACCGGCGCACGGGUGAGUAACACGUAUCCAACCUGCCGAUAACUCGGGGAUAGCCUUUCGAAAGAAAGAUUAAUACCCGAUGGUAUAAUCAGACCGCAUGGUCUUGUUAUUAAAGAAUUUCGGUUAUCGAUGGGGAUGCGUUCCAUUAGGCAGUUGGUGAGGUAACGGCUCACCAAACCUUCGAUGGAUAGGGGUUCUGAGAGGAAGGUCCCCCACAUUGGAACUGAGACACGGUCCAAACUCCUACGGGAGGCAGCAGUGAGGAAUAUUGGUCAAUGGGCGCAGGCCUGAACCAGCCAAGUAGCGUGAAGGAUGACCGCCCUAUGGGUUGUAAACUUCUUUUAUAUGGGAAUAAAGUUUUCCACGUGUGGAAUUUUGUAUGUACCAUAUGAAUAAGGAUCGGCUAACUCCGUGCCAGCAGCCGCGGUAAUACGGAGGAUCCGAGCGUUAUCCGGAUUUAUUGGGUUUAAAGGGAGCGUAGGUGGACAGUUAAGUCAGUUGUGAAAGUUUGCGGCUCAACCGUAAAAUUGCAGUUGAUACUGGCUGUCUUGAGUACAGUAGAGGUGGGCGGAAUUCGUGGUGUAGCGGUGAAAUGCUUAGAUAUCACGAAGAACUCCGAUUGCGAAGGCAGCUCACUGGACUGCAACUGACACUGAUGCUCGAAAGUGUGGGUAUCAAACAGGAUUAGAUACCCUGGUAGUCCACACAGUAAACGAUGAAUACUCGCUGUUUGCGAUAUACAGUAAGCGGCCAAGCGAAAGCAUUAAGUAUUCCACCUGGGGAGUACGCCGGCAACGGUGAAACUCAAAGGAAUUGACGGGGGCCCGCACAAGCGGAGGAACAUGUGGUUUAAUUCGAUGAUACGCGAGGAACCUUACCCGGGCUUAAAUUGCAUUUGAAUAUAUUGGAAACAGUAUAGCCGUAAGGCAAAUGUGAAGGUGCUGCAUGGUUGUCGUCAGCUCGUGCCGUGAGGUGUCGGCUUAAGUGCCAUAACGAGCGCAACCCUUAUCUUUAGUUACUAACAGGUCAUGCUGAGGACUCUAGAGAGACUGCCGUCGUAAGAUGUGAGGAAGGUGGGGAUGACGUCAAAUCAGCACGGCCCUUACGUCCGGGGCUACACACGUGUUACAAUGGGGGGUACAGAAGGCAGCUACCUGGUGACAGGAUGCUAAUCCCAAAAGCCUCUCUCAGUUCGGAUCGAAGUCUGCAACCCGACUUCGUGAAGCUGGAUUCGCUAGUAAUCGCGCAUCAGCCAUGGCGCGGUGAAUACGUUCCCGGGCCUUGUACACACCGCCCGUCAAGCCAUGAAAGCCGGGGGUACCUGAAGUACGUAACCGCAAGGAGCGUCCUAGGGUAAAACUGGUAAUUGGGGCUAA